rnacentral:rRNA from 1 species
CGGGGGGGGGCGAGCGUUGUUCGGAAUCACUGGGCGUAAAGGGCGUGUAGGCGGUUUGGUAAGUGAGAUGUGAAAGCCCCCCGGGCUCACCCCGGGGGAGGGUCAUCUCAUACUGCUGAACUUGAGUGCGGAAGAGGAUGAGGGAAUUCCUGGUGUAGCGGUGAAAUGCGUAGAUAUCAGGAGGAACACCGGUAGCGAAGGCGCUCAUCUGGUCCGUUACUGACGCUGAGGCGCGAAAGCUAGGGGAGCGAACGGGAUUAGAUACCCCGGUAGUCCUAGCCGUAAACGGUGGGCACUAGGUGUAGGAGGCAUCGACCCUUCCUGUGCCGCAGCUAACGCAUUAAGUGCCCCGCCUGGGGAGUACGGCCGCAAAGGCUG